rnacentral:lncRNA from 13 species
GGUCUUUAUCCCAGGUGAGGUUUAUAAUACGGUCUUUAUCCCAGGUGAGGGUUAUAAUACGGUCUUUAUCCCAGGUGAGGGUUAUAAUACGGUCUUUAUCCCAGGUGAGGUUUAUAAUACGGUCUUUAUCCCAGGUGAGGGUUAUAAUACGGUCUUUAUCCCAGGUGAGGUUUAUAAUACGGUCUUUAUCCCAGGUGAGGGUUAUAAUACGGUCUUUAUCCCAGGUGAGGGUUGUGGGCCAUAACGCACAGUAUGAAUCAUCCCAUGAUAUUCUCUUCUGCAUUUUAUCCUACUUAGAACCGUCUAAAAUGUGUCUCAUACAUUUAAUAUCGUUAGGGUAGAGACUAGAGGUUUUUUUUUACUACUGUAUCUGCUGUGGUAGGUUGAUCUACAUUCUACAAUGUAUAUUUGCAAUGUUGCUGUUGUUUUAAGUGUCCACUAGGGGUCACUAACAGAUGGUUCUUAAGAGAUUCAGCUGUUGAAGCCUGUCUGUUUCUCACCACUCAGACUAGUGUCACUGUCAACACUAUUGAACUCACAGACAAAUAUUAAGAGUAAUUAAUAAAGAUUAAACUAUUUUCAGAAAUGGCUUUUAACUCAAAUGUUUUUGCUUAGACUGACUGUUAGCCUACUGUAUACUAAAUAUGCCAACUCUUCUACAGUCCACAAGAUUCCUGUGCUAUUUGGUCACAGAUAUGUACUGUACUGUGAUGUACUGUGAUGUAGUGUACUGUGAUGUGAUGUACUGUGAUGUAGUGUACUGUGAUGUGAUGUACUGUGAUGUGAUGUAGUGUACUGUGAUGUAGUGUACUGUACUGUGAUGUACUGUACUGUGAUGUACUGUGAUGUACUGUGAUGUACUUUAAUGUACUGUGAUGUACUGUACUGCGAUGUAUUGUAAUGUACUGUGAUGUACUGUACUGUGAUGUACUGUAAAGAAUGAGAGUCCUGAAUGAUGUCACUGUCCCCGGGAUAUCUCCUCCAGAACUUGGCCAUGUAAUCAUCGGAACGCGUAUCUAGACUGCCUCGGUUAAAGAUGUUGUGAAAUGAGACACUAGUGGAGUAGUAGGAGAGACCAGUAGAGAGACCAAUAAAAACAUAUAGAGACCAGUAGAAACCAGUAGAGACCAAUAGAAACCAACAGACCAAUAGAAACCAGUGGAGACCAAUAGAGACCAGUAGAAACCAGUAGAGACCAGUAAAGACCAAGGUGCUUUACACUAACUACCUGCACAUAUAAUGCGUAUUACUUUUCAAAGGCAUUACAUAUGCCAUUAUAGUGUUUAGAAAAUGUUGUGUCCAGUACAACAAUACAUUUAGUUGGAUGUGAAGAGAGAAAUGAAAUGUCUCUGAGUUGGGGGACGAAGAAAGAAAUACUUGAUCAAAUCCAGUCAGUUUCCAAUUGUGAAAAAUCAGUGUAUUUCAGUGGUGUGCAAUACCUUCAUUUGUCUGGAAAUGGGCAGUAAAGUUUAGGUGUAAAUUGUACCAAAAGGGGUACAUUGAUCCACCCUUUUGUUAUUAAGAAACCGUACACACAAUUAAUAAUUUGACCAAAUAUAUUUAGGAAGAGGUCAUCAUUUCGUGGAGUUUGUGAAGGAAAAAAAAUCACAUUUGAAAAAGUGGUGAGCA